rnacentral:rRNA from 1 species
GAUGAACGCUAGCGGCAGGCCUAAUACAUGCAAGUCGAACGGCAGCGGGAAUAGCAAUAUUCGCCGGCGAGUGGCGCACGGGUGCGUAACGCGUAUGCAACCUACCUAUAACUGGGAGAUAGCCCGGAGAAAUUCGGAUUAAUACCCCAUAACAUAUCGGAUUGGCAUCUUUCUGAUAUUAAAGCUCAGGCGGUUAUAGAUGGGCAUGCGUGACAUUAGCUAGUUGGUAAGGUAACGGCUUACCAAGGCUACGAUGUCUAGGGGUUCUGAGAGGAUAGUCCCCCACACUGGUACUGAGACACGGACCAGACUCCUACGGGAGGCAGCAGUAAGGAAUAUUGGGCAAUGGAGGCAACUCUGACCCAGCCAUGCCGCGUGAAGGAUGAAGGCCCUAUGGGUUGUAAACUUCUUUUGUACGGGAAUAAACCUGGUUACGUGUAAUCAGCUGAAUGUACCGUAAGAAUAAGCACCGGCUAACUCCGUGCCAGCCGCCGCCGUAAUAC